rnacentral:lncRNA from 1 species
UUCACAUACACCUUGACUGUCCCCAAGAUCAAAGAUGUAAAGACUUAUUGAAUCAAUAUUCAAGACCGAUGACCGAAGGCGAAGAACAACAUCUCGAACCCUAGGGUUUAGACCACAAACUCACGAUCUCAAGGUAGAUCAACUCUGUAAUUGCUACAACAUCAAUACGAGAAAAGCAGGAUGCAUGGUUUUACCUCCAUGGAGAGGACCCGAACCUGGGUAAAAGCCCUAGUGUUCUUUGUAUCCUGUUAACCUCGAUCCGAUCUCACAGCUCGGACCGCCCUACCCGAG